UUAUUAUCAAAAAGAAACCACAGAGAAAACAAAAUGUUAUGUGGAAAGAAGUUUCCGACCAUGGUUCAACUAACUAGCUCUAUAAAUGUCUUAAGCGGAGGAAGCAAGCGCAAACACAAGUGCCUGUGAAAAUGUAAACAAACGGUUAUAUUGCUAUGGCAUCUGAAAUACAAAACAUUUCAGUCAGUAGAUAAAUAAGAUGGACGUGUGUGCCAUCAUAAAUUAUAGGAUCUACUCAGAGUACGCUAAGUAAUAUAAUAAAGGUGUAAGGAACGUGCAAAUUGGACUGUGGAGGACUAGUGCAAAGUAAUAUUUAGCAAUGAGUCUCGUGUUUUCCUUGGAGCAGUGAAUGACAAAGGAAAAUUUGUUUGGCAGUGAUCUAACGAAAAAUUUAAUAAAGAUUGCAUGAAUCAUAAACAAAAAUAACCAUAAUUUUAUAUGAUAUGGAGUUGUAUGACAGAAAGGGGAGUGGGAAAACUAUGCAUUAUGUACCAGAACGUGAACGCAGAAACAUAUUAAUAUAUUAAUAUAUUUUAGAAGAUUUAGAGCAAAAUCAUAUUAAAACAUUGAAGUGACCUGCGAACAGCUCCAACUUGAACCCAAUCGAGAACAUAUGGGCAAAAUUAAUAAAAUUGAUUUAUGAGAAAAACUAAAGAUUAAAGAUAUGCUGUACAUGCUACUUCGACAUGCAAUACAAUUGUCGUGGAAAGAAAUUUCGUCUAGGGAUUGUGAAAACUUAGCAGUGUCAAUGCCCCCAAUGCAUUAAAAGUGUCAUAUGAGAACGUGAUAAUGUAACAAAAUAUUAAUAAUUCAAUGAUCAGAGACUUUUUUCCAACAUUUGUACUGACCGGAAACUUUUUGCCACAUAACAUUUUGUUUUCUGUGUGGUUUCUCUUUGAUAAUAAGUGAAAGAUUGUGUUACGUUA